rnacentral:sRNA from 1 species
AUAGGUAAGUUGCAAUUAGGUACGAACA